UACGUAGGGGGCAAGCGUUAUCCGGAUUCACUGGGUGUAAAGGGAGCGUAGACGGCGACGCAAGUCUGGAGUGAAAGCCCGGGGCCCAACCCCGGGACUGCUCUGGAAACUGCGGCGCUGGAGUACGGGAGGGGCAGGCGGAAUUCCCGGUGUAGCGGUGAAAUGCGUAGAUAUCAGGAGGAACACCGGCGGCGAAGGCGGCCUGCUGGACCGUGACUGACGUUGAGGCUCGAGAGCGUGGGGAGCAAACAGG
rnacentral:rRNA from 1 species